rnacentral:rRNA from 1 species
CUGGGACUGAGACACGGCCCAGACUCCUACGGGAGGCAGCAGUAGGGAAUCUUCCGCAAUGGACGAAAGUCUGACGGAGCAACGCCGCGUGAGUGAUGAAGGUUUUCGGAUCGUAAAGCUCUGUUGGUAGGGAAGAACAAGUGCCGUUCAAAUAGGGCGGCACCUUGACGGUACCUAACCAGAAAGCCACGGCUAACUACGUGCCAGCAGCCGCGGUAAUACGUAGGUGGCAAGCGUUGUCCGGAAUUAUUGGGCGUAAAGGGCUCGCAGGCGGUUUCUUAAGUCUGAUGUGAAAGCCCCCGGCUCAACCGGGGAGGGUCAUU